rnacentral:rRNA from 1 species
AUUGAACGCUGGCGGCAUGCCUUACACAUGCAAGUCGAACGGCAGCACGGGAGCAAUCCUGGUGGCGAGUGGCGAACGGGUGAGUAAUAUAUCGGAACGUGCCCAGUCGUGGGGGAUAACGCAGCGAAAGCUGUGCUAAUACCGCAUACGAUCUAUGGAUGAAAGCGGGGGAUCGCAAGACCUCGCGCGAUUGGAGCGGCCGAUAUCAGAUUAGGUAGUUGGUGGGGUAAAGGCUCACCAAGCCGCCGAUCUGUAGCUGGUCUGAGAGGACGACAGGCCAAACUGGAACUGAGAACCGGUCCAGACUCCUACGGGAGGCAGCAGUGAGGAAUUUUGGACAAUGGGCGCAAGCCUGAUCCAGCAAUGCCGCGUGCAGGAUGAAGGCCUUCGGGUUGUAAACUGCUUUUGUACGGAGCGUAAAGGCUCUCUCUAAUACAGGGGGCUCAUGACGGUACCGUAAGAAUAAGCACCGGCUAACUACGUGCCAGCCGCCGCGGUAAAAC